rnacentral:rRNA from 1 species
AUCAGCCUGAAGGCGCCCGAUCUCGUCUGAUCUCGGAAGCUAAGCAGGGUCGGGCCUGGUUAGGAUCUUGGAUGGGAGACCACCUGGGAAUCCCGGGU